CCUACGGGAGGCUGCAGUGAGGAAUAUUGGUCAAUGGACGGAAGUCUGAACCAGCCAUGCCGCGUGCAGGAAGACGGCUCUAUGAGUUGUAAACUGCUUUUGUACAAGGGUAAACCUGAAUACGUGUAUUCAGCUGAAAGUACUGUACGAAUAAGGAUCGGCUAACUCCGUGCCAGCAGCCGCGGUAAUACGGAGGAUCCAAGCGUUAUCCGGAUUUAUUGGGUUUAAAGGGUGCGUAGGUGGAUUGAUAAGUUAGAUGUGAAAUGUCCGAGCUUAACUCGGGAACUGCCUCUAAUACUGUUGGUCUAGAGAGUAGAAGCGGUAGGCGGAAUGUAUGGUGUAGCGGUGAAAUGCUUAGAUAUCAUACAGAACACCGAUUGCGAAGGCAGCUUACCAAUCUAUAUCUGACGUUGAGGCACGAAAGCGUGGGGAGCAAACAGGAGUAGAUACCCCGGUAGUC
rnacentral:rRNA from 1 species